rnacentral:rRNA from 1 species
GUAACUUGCCGCAAGGUGCUGACGAGUGGCAAACGGGUGAGUAAUACAUCGGAACGUGCCCGAUCGUGGGGGAUAACGCAGCGAAAGCUGUGCUAAUACCGCAUACGAUCUACGGAUGAAAGCGGGGGAUCGCAAGACCUCGCGCGGACGGAGCGGCCGAUGGCAGAUUAGGUAGUUGGUGGGGUAAAGGCCUACCAAGCCGACGAUCUGUAGCUGGUCUGAGAGGACGACCAGCCACACUGGGACUGAGACACGGCCCAGACUCCUACGGGAGGCAGCAGUGGGGAAUUUUGGACAAUGGGCGCAAGCCUGAUCCAGCCAUGCCGCGUGCAGGAUGAAGGCCUUCGGGUUGUAAACUGCUUUUGUACGGAACGAAAAGGUUUCUUUUAAUACAGGGAACUGAUGACGGUACCGUAAGAAUAAGCACCGGCUAACUACGUGCCAGCAGCCGCGGUAAUACGUAGGGUGCGAGCGUUAAUCGGAAUUACUGGGCGUAAAGCGUGCGCAGGCGGUGAUGU